UGGGGAAUCUUGGACAAUGGGGGCAACCCUGAUCCAGCCAUGCCGCGUGAGUGAUGAAGGCCUUAGGGUCGUAAAGCUCUUUCGCCUGUGAAGAUAAUGACGGUAGCAGGUAAAGAAACCCCGGCUAACUCCGUGCCAGCAGCCGCGGUAAUACGGAGGGGGUUAGCGUUGUUCGGAAUUACUGGGCGUAAAGCGCACGUAGGCGGACCAGAAAGUUGGGGGUGAAAUCCCGGGGGCUCAACCCCGGAACUGCCUCCAAAACUAUUGGUCUAGAGUUCGAGAGAGGUGAGUGGAAUUCCAAGUGUAGAGGUGAAAUUCGUAGAUAUUUGGAGGAACACCAGUGGCGAAGGCGGCUCACUGGCUCGAUACUGACGCUGAGGUGCGAAAGUGUGGGGAGCAAACAGGAUUAGAUACCCUGGGUAGUCCCACACCGUAAAACGAUGAAUGCCAGUCGUCGGGUAGCAUGCUAUUCGGGUGACACACCUAACGGAUUAAGCAUUCCGGCCUGGGGAGUACGGUCGCAAGAUUAAAA
rnacentral:rRNA from 1 species